rnacentral:misc_RNA from 1 species
UCCUGGUUAACCCAGGCAGUCUCGUUAGAGUUCCCACCAUUACGUGUUGGCAAAUAACGAUAAGGGUUGCGCUCGUUGCGGGACUUAACCCAACACCUCACGGCACGAGCUGACGACAGCCAUGCAGCACCUGUGCAGAGACUCCGAAGAGAACUUACAUCUCUGUAAGCGUCCUCUGCAUGUCAAGCCUGGGUAAGGUUCUUCGCGUUGCAUCGAAUUAAACCACAUGCUCCACUGCUUGUGCGGGUCCCCGUCAAUUCUUUUGAGUUUCAGCCUUGCGACUGUACUUCCCAGGCGGUAUACUUAACGCGUUAGCUACGGCACAACUAGGGUUGAAUCCAGUUACACCAAGUAUACAUCGUUUACGGCAAGGACUAC